rnacentral:lncRNA from 1 species
AUGCGUAUGCUCAUCCAACGUGUGGUCAGACACUGUCACUCACAAAAGCAUUUAUCCCCUGGUUUUAUGAAUCAGUCUGUAGUGGGAGGUUUGCAUUGCGUUUCCAUGGCGACGGAGGGAAAGCGGUGGCCAGGUUCUUACGGUGCAAGUUCCAUUCAUAAAAGCUUCGCAGCCGAUGGGUUUAAAUCUCCUAGCACUGGGAGGGUCCGCACCAGGGUCUCCAACCUGCUUGCGUACUCUGGGGCACGGCAGCGAGGUACGAACACGCUAAUCCGUGUUCCACACUGACCCACGAGGCUUGUCUGCUCAUCACAUCUGGGCGUCAGGCCCCGCUGAGACCGAGAUGAUUGCAUCAGCCAGGACCUGCUCCUGCAGCCCGCUCCACCUGCUGGGUUGAUCCUUGAACAGCCAGCACCCCCAGCAUCCCCCCGCCCUUUGUGAUCUUACCAAACUCGAACAGAAAUAGCACAUGCGUGGAAUCGUAAGCUGGAGGAGAGAACCUCAAAGAGCCACUCAGAGGAUGUGUAUCAAUAUUGCAGCACUGCCCUCACUGCUUCAGGGCCUCAUCAUAAUUAAUUUAUCCUUUUUCUUCCCUGUAACUUUGCUGCGUGAUGCUCGAGCCACGGGAAGCUCUACAGUCAGGCUGCCCGUGAUGCCAGUGCAAGGAUGCGGUUGCCGUGACACCCAGAGCUGGUAUCCGUGACCGUCCACGGUGCUCCUCUCUCUGUCAGGAAGGUAAACCCAAAGUACCAUGUUGAAUGGCAAGUGGAGGUCCUCUGAGGGCAGUCCUGGUCCUGGUCCCUGGGAGGGGGUCUCAGUGGUUCUGAGGAGGUUGUAGAACCCCUCCCACAAUGCACUGCUGUCUGGUCAUAUCUAGAGAAUGUGUGUGAGGACGCAUUUUGCCGCAUCAUUACAAACGACCAGCCAGCCUUUGCUCAACAGCUGCGUGUCAAGAUGAUAAACCGGCUGCUCAUCAUCGUCAGAAUCGGGGACUAAAAAUAUGCAGUCAGUGUCCACACCUUGAAGAACAAGGGGGAAAAAACAGCAUAACUGCAAAAAAUUGCUUCGAGUUGUCAAAAAUGAGAACUGCCCACAUCUUGAACAACAGGGUGUGAUAAAUCAUAGUCAAAUCAAGAUGUAAGAAGAGCCUUUGUCUUUUCUAAUACUUACAUACUCUAGAUAAAAAGUGAUUUGUCAUCUAUUUUUGUAUCAGUUGUAAUCAGAAAAUAAAAAAUUUAUUGAUUAGAAUAAAGUCA